rnacentral:tRNA from 2 species
GAUUCGGUAGCUCAGCUGGUAGAGCAAUACACUUUUAAUGUAUGGGCCCUGGGUUCGAAUCCCAGCCGAAUCA